rnacentral:rRNA from 1 species
UACGGAGGGUGCAAGCGUUAUCCGGAAUCAUUGGGUUUAAAGGGUCCGCAGGCGGUCUUAGUAAGUCAGUGGUGGAAAGCCUACAGCUCAACUGUAGAACUGCCAUUGAUACUGUAAGACUUGAAUUCGAUCGAAGUGGGCGGAAUAUGACAUGUAGCGGAUGAAAUGCUUAGAUAUGACAUAGAACACCGAUAGCGAAGGCAGCUUGCUACACAGUACAUUGACACUGAGGCACGAAAGCGUGGGGAGCAAACAGG